CCUACGGGAGGCAGCAGUGAGGAAUAUUGGUCAAUGGGCGGGAGCCUGAACCAGCCAAGCCGCGUGAGGGAAGAAGGUACAGCGUAUCGUAAACCUCUUUUGUCAGGGAACAAAGGCGGGGACUAGUCCCCGGAUGAGGGUACCUGAAGAAAAAGCAUCGGCUAACUCCGUGCCAGCAGCCGCGGUAAUACGGAGGAUGCGAGCGUUAUCCGGAUUUAUUGGGGUUAAAGGGUGCGCAGGCGGCCUGUUAAGUCAGCGGGAAAAGCCCGGGGCUCAACCCCGGCGAGCCGUUGAAACUGGCGGGCUGGAGUUGGAGAGAAGUACGCGGAAUGCGCGGUGUAGCGGUGAAAUGCUUAGAUAUCGCGCAGAACCCCGAUUGCGAAGGCAGCGUACCGGCUCCACACUGACGCUGAGGCACGAAAGCGUGGGUAUCGAACAGGAUUAGAGACCCGAGUAGUC
rnacentral:rRNA from 1 species